AAUUUUCUGCAGAAGAGAAAAAGUAGCAAAAUGGAAGGGACGCAAACAAACUGAGAAAAGAAACGGGGGAAGGAGAUUUGAGCCUCAUUGGUGCCAUCCUUCUGGAUUCCUUGUGCUGCUGUGCCUCCAGGCACACUAUCUUUACGAAAAAAAGAGGGGGUAAGGCAGUUAAUCCCACUGGAGGAUACGCUCUAUCCCAACUCUUCCUCCAACAGUCCUGGCAAUCCUGCCUCCUGCUGCCAUUCUCAAGCAAGGAUAUGGCCCAGGCUCCCUCCCUCUACAGCAAGGCAAGACAGAAACCUUGUAGGGGAAAACUGUGUCCUGUAAGGGCUUACCCUGGUAGCUAGGACCCAAAGAGUGUUAUCUGCAUGCACACAACAGAAGCCAGCACUUCUUACCUAACACCAAAAGCAGCUGAGCAUUGCUCAUGGCAGAGUUCAUGAGAACAGACAGAAUGACUACUUGUUAUUAUUUCUGGUCCUCCCAAGACUCAGAGACUGGGAGACUGUGUCCUUCCCAGGCUGCUCAGUGCGGAUUAGAUGCCUUAUGCUAGCAGCAGCCCUCCAACUGGGGAGCUUGCUGCAGAUGGGCGGAUGCCCUUGGUGGUAGAAUUGCUGGCUGGGAAGCAGUUCAGUAUUUUAUACACCAGACAAACCGCAGUGAAGUAAAUGGAGAUAGUCUGCUGCUCCUGCUCUCUGCGGACACCGGAGGGAGCUGCAGCUCACAGGCAGUGGAAGCUCCGUUUCUUUUCUCUCUCGCAGUCCAAGCACAUUCUGUAAGAGAGGUGGCUCCGUGUCUGCAGGCCCUGAUCCGGUAUGAAGGCUCCCCUUUUAGCUGUCCUGUGUAUCAGUGUAUUGGAUCUACAACUCUUUAACCGUUUAGAUUUAGGGGAAGGGAAAUAAUCUUGUUAUUUUCCCCCCAUCCCCGUCUCACAGUAUUCACAAAGAUGGCUGGAGAGUCCUCACUGACGAGUAGGUAUGAAUAAUUAACAUUAUUCUUCCCUUCUCAUCCAUUUUACUACCUUCUGCUUUGCAUGUAGUUGUCCUUCUCCAGCAGAGGGUACUUUGGGGACAUCUGCAGUGAUCCAGCAGAUGACUCAAGGUAAAGCACUCUUCCCUCUGAAAAGUCAGAUAUCAGUGCCACGGUAUGGUGUGAAGGAGAACUGUGCCGCAGUGAAUAGCGUGGGUGACUCAUGAAGGAAACGCGUCCACCUUCAUGCAGAUAUUCCCUAAGCUGCACUGACCCCAGUGCCUGUAGGUGUUUACCUAAGAUGAAAUGCAGUGGCAGUGAUUCAGCAAGAAGUUCUCUUCCUUCCAAGUACUUGGUACUGACCUCCUUAUGUUACCAGGGAUGCUAUAGCAAUAGUAGCAUGAUAUUUUGGAUGAGACACAAAAUCAGCGUUUUCAGAAAUUAAAAUUUCCUGGUGCAUUUCACCCCAGAGAUUACUGCAUCUCAGCAGACAGGUGUUUGUCAUUUGCAAAGGUCCUGGAGAGGCAUUUAAAUGCCAGCUAUUUUCUUUCUGUCUUGCUCUCUGUCUCCCUGGCCUUCUCAUAUCCCCACAGUAACAGGGUGUUAAGUUACAUUUGAGUGAUAAGAAAUUAAUAAACUGCUGUAAGAUGUUUGAAUGCACCACUUCAAUAAUGUAGUACUAAGUGGUCAUUUGAAUUGGGGCUGGUGAAAUGAGUUUUCCUGGGAUGCACACUGAUGACUUCUCAUUGCUGACGGGCUCCAUACCUGAGGUCUGACACUACCCUGCACUUGUUUCACUGUUGUAGCCAAGGUCAUCAGUGGGAAGGGGCAUGAGCUUGAAGCCUGAUUCACCUGUCCCCAGAUUCGAGGGAUUCACGUCUGACUUUGUAUACAGUUCACUGUAGAAGUGGGAACCCUGUAAAGUAUAGGAGCCUGGACACAAUCCACAUCUUGUUGACUAAUGGUCAUGUUUUUGCUGUUCAUCUACAAUAAGGAGUUCUUCACCCAUUUACUUCCAAAUCAGCAGGCUUACCUUGCAGUGUCUUGUGGUCACAGAAAACCCUAAGGGAGACCACAAAACUAAUUAAUACAUGCUCAGCUCCUUCAAAUCAGUUCAACACUCAUGAAGAAUUGAGCAUGAGAACAGGCAUUUAGUGAAAUCUUUGAUGUUUAGUUGGUGAUUUGGCCAUGGGAUUCGGGAUUCUCCUGGCCAAGA